GACGAACGCUGGCGGCGUGCUUAACACAUGCAAGUCGAACGGAAAGGCCCUGCUUUUGUGGGGUGCUCGAGUGGCGAACGGGUGAGUAACACGUGAGUAACCUGCCCUUGACUUUGGGAUAACUUCAGGAAACUGGGGCUAAUACCGGAUAGGAGCUCCUGCUGCAUGGUGGGGGUUGGAAAGUUUCGGCGGUUGGGGAAGGACUCGCGGCUUAUCAGCUUGUUGGUGGGGUAGUGGCUUACCAAGGCUUUGACGGGUAGCCGGCCUGAGAGGGUGACCGGCCAGAUUGGGACGGAGAUACGGCCCAGACUCCUACGGGAGGCAGCAGUGGGGAAUAUUGCACAAUGGGCGGAAGCCUGAUGCAGCAACGCCGCGUGCGGGAUGACGGCCUUCGGGUUGUAAACCGCUUUCGCCUGUGACGAAGCGUGAGUGACGGUAAUGGGUAAAGAAGCACCGGCUAACUACGUG
rnacentral:rRNA from 1 species